rnacentral:lncRNA from 1 species
GAUUUUUACUUUUUGGUUAAGAAUCAAAUAUUAUUAUGCGGACAUACAAUUAUCUAAACAGUUUGUUCAAUGCUUAAAUGUAAUUAGGGCAUUAAUUUGGAACAAGGGUUGUGGCAGUAGUAGUGGCAGUAGUAGUGGCAGUAGUAGUGGCAGUAGUAGUGGCAGUAGUAGUGGCAGUAGUAGUGGCAGAAGUAGCGACAGUAGUAGCACAUCCACAUUUCACCAUCAGAUAUCUCAUAUACUAGACCAGUUCAAAAUAAAAUAUAUAAACGAGUACAUGACAGAAGAUUUGUUAUUUAUUGAUAUCGUUAUAAGCGUCGAACAAAAUUCAAAAGAAAAAAUCGCCAUAGAAAUUGAUGGUCCUUCUCACCACUUGUUAGUCUUAAAUAAUAUUAACGUUAAUGACCCUCGGAAAAUUAAAAAGGAGUACAUAAAAUGUGGAACUACGCAUUUUAAAAACUCAUUACUUAAGAAAUCCGGAUGGACAGUUAUUCAUAUUGAAUCAUAUGAAUGGAAUAAAUUAAAAAAAAAAGAGAAGCGUGGUUACGUAGCUCAAAAACUAUCGAAUCAUAGUGAGCAUUUUAGACACUUUUUUGACAAGCAUAAAUAAUGAGUUCAUUUUUAUGGUUACUCAUACAUAGAUACACGUGUGUAGAUAUAUAUAUAUAUAUAUAUAUAUUUGUGAGUGUAUGUACGAGUUUUUAAAAAAUUGUUUCGUUUCAUAAUGAAUGUUGUGUUAACAAUGAAGUAGACACAUUACACUAUUUUGAAAAUGUAUCUGAUGAUAUCAAACUGUGUUUUACGAAUUAACAAAAGAAAAAAAAAAAAAAAAAAAAAAAAAACGUAGAUGAUGCAUUGCUCAUUCAUUUCUGAGUGGGUCCAUUAUUUUGAAAACAACCUCAUUCGUUUAUUCGUUUAUUCGUUUAUUCAUUUAUUUUAUUUUGUUUUGCUUCGUUUUGGUUUUUCCAGUUAUAUGUUUUAUUUACUUUCCAUAUUAAAAGAAUUGUAUAUACACUCCAUGAUAGGAAAAAAAACAAAAUAAAUAAAAGAAUUAAAAAAAAAUAAAAUAAAAC